rnacentral:rRNA from 1 species
UGCAAGUCGAGCGGCAGCGGGAGGUGCUUGCACCUCGCCGGCGAGCGGCGGACGGGUGAGUAAUGCAUAGGAAUCUGCCCGGUAGUGGGGGAUAACCUGGGGAAACCCAGGCUAAUACCGCAUACGUCCUACGGGAGAAAGCAGGGGAUCUUCGGACCUUGCGCUAUCGGAUGAGCCUAUGCCGGAUUAGCUAGUUGGUAGGGUAACGGCCUACCAAGGCGACGAUCCGUAGCUGGUCUGAGAGGAUGAUCAGCCACACUGGGACUGAGACACGGCCCAGACUCCUACGGGAGGCAGCAGUGGGGAAUAUUGGACAAUGGGCGAAAGCCUGAUCCAGCCAUGCCGCGUGUGUGAAGAAGGCUUUCGGGUUGUAAAGCACUUUCAGUGGGGAAGAAGGCCUGUCGGUUAAUACCCGGCAGGGACGACAUCACCCACAGAAGAAGCACCGGCUAACUCCGUGCCAGCAGCCGCGGUAAUACGGAGGGUGCGAGCGUUAAUCGGAAUUACUGGGCGUAAAGCGCGCGUAGGCGGCGUGAUAAGCCGGUUGUGAAAGCCCCGGGCUCAACCUGGGAACGGCAUCCGGAACUGUCGCGCUAGAGUGCAGGAGAGGAAGGUAGAAUUCCCGGUGUAGCGGUGAAAUGCGUAGAGAUCGGGAGGAAUACCAGUGGCGAAGGCGGCCUUCUGGACUGACACUGACGCUGAGGUGCGAAAGCGUGGGUAGCAAACAGGAUUAGAUACCCUGGUAGUCCACGCCGUAAACGAUGUCGACUAGCCGUUGGGCGCCUCGAGUGCUUAGUGGCGAAGUUAACGCGAUAAGUCGACCGCCUGGGGAGUACGGCCGCAAGGUUAAAACUCAAAUGAAUUGACGGGGGCCCGCACAAGCGGUGGAGCAUGUGGUUUAAUUCGAUGCAACGCGAAGAACCUUACCUACCCUUGACAUCCU